GUAAUUCCAGCUCCAAUAGCGUAUAUUAAAGUUGUUGCGGUUAAAAAGCUCGUAGUUGGUUCUGCGUGCCGCGCUGUCGGUUCGCCGCCUGUCGGUGUUACUGGCAUGUCGCGGCAUGUCCUGUCGGUGGUGAAUGAAUUCCCCGGUGCUACGUAGGCUAUUUAUUAGCUGAAGUAUGUGCCGCGGUGAGUUCAUUCGCCGAUUUCUCCUACUCCGGUGCUCUUAAACGAGUGUCGAGGUAGGCCGACACGUUCACUUUGAACAAAUUAGAGUGCUUAAAGCAGGCUAAAAUAUCUGCCUGAAUAGUGGUGCAUGGAAUAAUAAAAUAGGACCUCGGUUCUAUUUUAUUGGUUUUAGGAAUAUGAGGUAAUGAUCAAUGUGGACUGGCGGGGGCAUUCGUAUUGCGACGUUAGAGGUGAAAUUCUUGGAUCGUCGCAAGACGCACAAGAGCGAAAGCAUUUGCCAAGUAUGUCUUAAUUGAUCAAGAACGAAAGUUAGAGGUUCGAAGGCGAUCAGAUACCGCCCUAGUUCUAACCAUAAACGAUGCCAGCCAGCGAUCCGCCGAUGUUCCUUUAAUGACUCGGCGGGGAGCUUCUACCCGGGAAACCAAAGCUUUUGGGUUCCGGG
rnacentral:rRNA from 1 species